UGGGCAAGAGGAGAAAAACAGGGAAAGAGAAGGAAAAAAGGAAAAAUACAAAGGAAAAAGAGCACAAAGGAGGAAGAGGAGAGAGGAGCAGACUCAGGAUUCCCCCGGUGAUGUCCCCGUGUCCCCCCCGUCCCCUCCCUGUCCCCCCUCACUGGCAACACUUUAGCACAAAGUGAAGUUUGCACUAAAAAGAAAUCAAGAAAAAGCAAAAAAAAAAAAGCUCCAAAUCCCCCCCAAAUCCCCCAGGAUUUUCCCUGUCCCGUCGCCUUAAAACCCCCCACCCCAAAAUCCCCUCCCGUAGCUCAGCAUCGAGAUUUUUGUCUUUAUUCUGAUUAAUUUUAAUUUAAUUUGAGGUUUUUUGUUGUUUUUUUUUUUUUUUUCCAAUCCAGGUUAGGAUGAAAGUGUUGCCAAAGAAAGUGCUGAGUUACGGUGGGAAGAGAGAGAGGAAUAAUAAUAAAAGUUAUUAAUAAUAAUAAUAAUAAUCGAUGAUUAAAUAAUAAAAUUUGGAUCAAAGCCAAGCAGGGGCAAGGGGAAAUAAGGAGGGGGGGAAAAAGGAUUUUUGUGAUUUAAAAGAGGAAAAAAUUUGUUUGUCCCCUCCCCUCCUUUCCUUCCCCCAUCCCACCUCCCCCUGUGGGGGCUCAGCCCAAUUUUGGGGGAUUAAUUCAGGUUUUGGGGGGGCUCAGCCCAAUUUUGGGGGAGUUAAUCCAGGUUUAGGGGGGCUCAGCCCAAUUUUGGGGGAUUAAUUCAAGUUUUAGGGGGGCUCAGCCCAAAUUUGGGGGAUUAAUUCAGGUUUAGGGGGACUCAGCCCAAUUUUGGGGGAUUAAUUCAGGUUUUAGGGGGGCUCAGCCCAAAUUUGGGGGAUUAAUUCAGGUUUUAGGGGGACUCAGCCCAAAUUUGGGGGAUUAAUUCAGGUUUUGGGGGUUCAGCCCAAAUUUGGGGGAUUAAUUCAGGUUUUAGGGGGGCUCAGCCCAAUUUUGGGGGAUUAAUUCAGGUUUGGGGGGGGCUCAGCCCAAUUUUGGGGGAUUAAUUCAGGUUUGGGGGGGGCUCAGCCCAAAUUUGGGGGAUUAAUUCAGGUUUUGGGGGUUUAAUCCUGGCUUUGGGGUCUGGGCUGCACCUCCUGCUGGGCUGGGACAAAUUUGGGUUUUUUUUUUCCCCCCCAAAAUCGGCUCUGGGGGGUUCCUGCCCCCCACACUGAGCAGGGGGGGUUUCAUUUCUCAUUUUUCCACAGAAAAGGGCUGAUUCCCCCUCCCCACCCCAAAAUUCUCCUUCAUCCCCCCCCUCUUUAGAGCCUCCCCAGCCCCAAUCCCCCCCCCUCAAAUUUAACAAUUUAAUAAUAAAUCAAGACCAAAACCCCCUGAAUUUCUCUCUCUAAAUUUUCUAAUUUUUUUUUUUUUUUUUUUUUGGAUCCACGACAAGGAAAAAAAAAAUAAAUUUCAAUCAAGAGAAACAAAAUAAAAAGAGCAAAACGGGAUGGAAAUUUUGGGGCGGGGAGGGGGCAAAAUGCUGCAUUAAAUUGUGUUUUAUAUAAUAAAAUUAUCUAUCUAUCUAUUAUCUAUAUAUAUAUAUAUAUAUAUAUACACAGCAAGAGCUGAAAUGUCCCAGGGACGGGGGGGACACCGAGCUCGGCCGGGGACCCCAAAGGAUGCUCGAGGUGGGGCCACUUUAUUAUAAAUAUUAAUUUUAUUUUCAUUUUUUUCCCUUUUUUUUUGGUUUUUUUUUUUUUUUUGGUUUUUUUUUUUCCUGCGUCUUUCUAUAUAAUCUAUUAAAGAGAUUCUUUAUCUUCAA